GUAGGUGAACCUGCGGAAGGAUCACUAGUGAUUAAAUCGAGCGUGUCUUCAUUGACCGCUCACCCUUCUCACCAUCCACAUACACCUGUGCACUGUUUAGCCUGAGCCGGUUUUCUGGUCCAGGUUAUCAUUUCAUACAAACUCUAGUCUUAUGAAUGUAAACGUUUUAAUAACAUAAUAAAACUUUCAACAACGGAUCUCUUGGUUCUC
rnacentral:misc_RNA from 1 species